AACGAACGCUGGCGGCAUGCCUAACACAUGCAAGUCGAACGAGACCUUCGGGUCUAGUGGCGCACGGGUGCGUAACGCGUGGGAACCUGUCCUUAGGUUCGGAAUAACUCCCCGAAAGGGGUGCUAAUACCGGAUAAUGUCUUCGGACCAAAGAUUUAUCGCCUUUGGAUGGGCCCGCGUUGGAUUAGCUAGUUGGUAGGGUAAAAGCCUACCAAGGCGACGAUCCAUAGCUGGUCUGAGAGGAUGAUCAGCCACACUGGGACUGAGACACGGCCCAGACUCCUACGGGAGGCAGCAGUGGGGAAUAUUGGACAAUGGGCGAAAGCCUGAUCCAGCAAUGCCGCGUGAGUGAUGAAGGCCUUAGGGUUGUAAAGCUCUUUUACCCGGGAUGAUAAUGACAGUACCGGGAGAAUAAGCUCCGGCUAACCCCGUG
rnacentral:rRNA from 1 species